CCUACGGGCGGCUGCAGUGGGGAAUAUUGCGCAAUGGGGGCAACCCUGACGCAGCCAUGCCGCGUGAAUGAAGAAGGCCUUCGGGUUGUAAAGUUCUUUCGGUAGCGAGGAAGGUGGUUAGUUUAAUAGGCUAGCCAAUUGACGUUAACUACAGAAGAAGCACCGGCUAACUCCGUGCCAGCAGCCGCGGUAAUACGGAGGGUGCGAGCGUUAAUCGGAAUAACUGGGCGUAAAGGGCACGCAGGCGGACUUUUAAGUGAGGUGUGAAAGCCCCGGGCUUAACCUGGGAAUUGCAUUUCAGACUGGGAGUCUAGAGUACUUUAGGGAGGGGUAGAAUUCCACGUGUAGCGGUGAAAUGCGUAGAGAUGUGGAGGAAUACCGAAGGCGAAGGCAGCCCCUUGGGAAUGUACUGACGCUCAUGUGCGAAAGCGUGGGGAGCAAACAGGAUUAGAUACCCCAGUAGU
rnacentral:rRNA from 1 species